UCGGGGCUGGCGGGGGUGGCUCUGGUGGCAGGGGUGACCCGUCUCUGCUGCCCUCGCCCAGGUGCUGGCGGCGGCUCCUCACACCAGCAGCGGCCGCGCAGUCGCUGCCUUGCAGCUGCUGCAGGCCCUGCAGGGCUGGAUCUGCGGGGCCUUGGGGACAGCGUGGGCCACCGAGAUCCCCCUCCUGCUGCAGCACCUGGCAGGAAGAGCCGAGAGCUCCCUGGACUCUGCAGAGUGGGAGCAGCAUGUGCUUAAGUUCUUGCGAGCAUCCCUGAAGCUCAUUGAGGAUGAGACCUGGAGCGUGGGCCUGAGCCAGCAGCUGAGCCGGCAGCUGGGCAGCUCUGCCCCCGGCUCCUGGCAGAAGGUUUGUCUCCUGCCCCACACCGGGACUCUGCCCACGCAGGCAGUUUUCACUGCUUCACCCCCAAACGGCGCUUCCCCCCGUGCUGCCCCGGCCUGGCACUGCGGGCAGUCCCGCCUGCUCCUGGGGGAGUCGGGUCAGUCUGGGGCCAGCCCUCUCCUGACAGGUCGGGCUGUGACCGCAUCUCGGGCUCAGCCUCUUCUCGUUCAGC